UUGAACCCCGCCGUAUGGAUUUUUCCCUUAGCAAAGUCUCCUUCUUGGAGACGAUGGUGUCACAGUGUUUGGUUCUUUCUGGUUUUGUUCUUGUUUUUUUAACACUUGUUUCCCUUCACAUGCAAAAGUACAAUAUGAAGCCUUCAUUUAAUCUCUGCAGUUCAUCUCAUUUCAAAUGUUUAUGGAAGAAGCACUUCAUUGAAAGUAGUGCUGUAAAUGUUCCACCACAGGAAUGCUUCUGUCUGCACGCUUCCUCACUCAAGAACUCGUCAGCACGCUGCGCAGGCUGCGUCUUUGACGCCCUGAAUGCAAAGAAUUCAUAGCAGUUAAUUCCCCUUUUUUGACCCUUUUGAGAUGGAACUUUCAUAAAGUUUCUUGGCAAUAGUUUAUUUUGCUUCAAAUAAACUUAUUUGAAAAGUUG